rnacentral:rRNA from 1 species
ACAAAUGGCGGUACUUGAGGAAGAAGCCACGGUUACUACGUGCCCGCAGCCGCGGUAAUACGUAGGUGCCAGCGUUGUCCGGAAUUACUGGGUGUAAAGGGAGCGCAGGCGGAACUGCAAGUUGGGUGUUUAUCUACGGGCUCAACCCGUAUCAGCAUUCAAAACUGUGGUUCUUGAGUAAUGCAGAGGUAGGCGGAAUUCCCGGUGUAGCGGUGGAAUGCGUAGAUAUCGGGAGGAACACCAGUGGCGAAGGCGGCCUACUGGGCAUCAACUGACGCUGAGGCUCGAAAGCAUGGGUAGCAAACAGGAUUAGAUACCCUGGUAGUCCAUGCUGUAAACGAUGAUUACUAGGUGUGGGAAGAUUGACCCUUUCCGUGCCGCAGUUAACACAAUAAGUAAUCCACCUGGGGAGUACGACCGCAAGGUUGAAACUCAAAGGAAUUGACGGGGGCCCGCACAAGCAGUGGAGUAUGUGGUUUAAUUCGAAGCAACGCGAAGAACCUUACCAGGUCUUGACAUCCAACGACCGCCUAAGAGAUUAGGCUUUCCUUCGGGACGUUGAGACAGGUGGUGCAUGGUUGUCGUCAGCUCGUGUCGUGAGAUGUUGGGUUAAGUCCCGCAACGAGCGCAACCCUUAUUACUAGUUACUACGCAAGAGGACUCUAGUGAGACUGCCGUUGACAAAACGGAGGAAGGUGGGGAUGACGUCAAAUCAUCAUGCCCUUUAUGACCUGGGCUACACACGUACUACAAUGGCUAUUAACAGAGAGAAGCGAGACCGCAAGGUGGAGCAAACCUCAGAAAAAUAGUCUCAGUCCGGAUUGGGGGCUGCAACCCGCCCCCAUGAAGCCGGAAUUGCUAGUAAUCGCGGAUCAGCAUGCCGCGGUGAAUACGUUCCCGGGCCUUGUACACACCGCCCGUCACACCAUGAGAGCCGGGGGGACCCGAAGUCGGUAGUCUAACCGCAAGGAGGACGCCGCCGAAGGUAAAACUGGUGAUUGGGGUGAAGUCGUAACAAGGUAACCGUAAAGGGCGAAUU